CUGCGGCCCGUACCCUAAACCGACUCAGGUGGUCAGGUAGAGAAUACUAAGGCGAUCGGGUGAGCUGUGGUUAAGGAACUCGGCAAAUUGCCCCCGUAACUUCGGGAGAAGGGGGGCCAUGCCCGGUGAUCCACCUUGCGUGGUGAGCGGGGUGUGGCCGCAGAUACCAGGGGGAAGCGACUGUUUACUAAAAACACAGGUCCGUGCGAAGUCGUAAGACGCUGUAUACGGACUGACGCCUGCCCGGUGCCGGAACGUUAAGAGGACCGGUCAACCCUCACGGGUGAAGCUGAGAAUCUAAGCGCCGGUAAACGGCGGUGGUAACUAUAACCAUCCAAAGGUAGCGAAAUUCCUUGUCGGGUAAGUUCCGACCUGCACGAAUGGUGUAACGACUUCCCCACUGUCUCAACCACAGACCCGGCAAAUUGCAGUACGAGUAAAGAUGCUCGUUUCGCGCAGCAGGACGGAAAGACCCCGGGACCUUCACUACAGCUUGGCAUUGGCGUUUGGAGCGUCUUGUGUAGGAUAGGUGGGAGACUGUGAAGCUCACACGCCAGUGUGGGUGGAGUCAUUGGUGAAAUACCACUCUGGUCGUUUCGAGCGUCUAACCCGCACCCGUGAAUCCGGGUGGGGGACAGUGCCUGGUGGGUAGUUUAACUGGGGCGGUUGCCUCCUAAAAGGUAACGGAGGCGCCCAAAGGUUCCCUCAGCCUGGUUGGUAAUCAGGUGGCGAGUGCAAGGGCACAAGGGAGCUUGACUGUGAGACGGACAUGUCGAGCAGGUGCGAAAGCAGGGCCUAGUGAUCCGGCGGUGGCAUGUGGAAGCGCCGUCGCUCAACGGCUAAAAGGUACCCCGGGGAUAACAGGCUGAUCUUCCCCAAGAGUCCAUAUCGACGGGAUGGUUUGGCACCUCGAUGUCGGCUCGUCGCAUCCUGGGGCUGGAGUAGGUCCCAAGGGUUGGGCUGUUCGCCCAUUAAAGCGGCACGCGAGCUGGGUUUAGAACGUCGCGAGACAGUUCGGUCCCUAUCCGCUGCGCGCGCAGGAGAUUUGAGAGGGUCUGUCCCUAGUACGAGAGGACCGGGACGGACGAACCUCUGGUGUGCCAGUUGUCAUGCCAAUGGCACGGCUGGUUGGCUACGUUCGGACGGGAUAACCGCUGAAAGCAUCUAAGCGGGAAGCCUUCCUCGAGAUGAGAUCUCCCACCCCCAUGAGGGGUGUAAGGCCCCCAGCUAGACCACUGGGUUGAUAGGCCAGAAAUGGAAGCACCGUAAGGUGUGGAGUUGACUGGUACUAAUAGGCCGAGCGGCUC
rnacentral:rRNA from 1 species